GGAUGCGAUCAUACCAGCACUAAAGCACCGGAUCCCAUCAGAACUCCGAAGUUAAGCGUGCUUGGGAGAGAGUAGUACUAGGAUGGGUGACCUCCUUGGAAGUCCUCAUGUUGCAUUCC
rnacentral:rRNA from 1 species